rnacentral:rRNA from 1 species
AUGUAUGAACUGGCCCCUCGCUCAGUUAUGUUUGCUACCUUCGUGAAUUGCUCGCAGGAGGUCAGGAACAAUAGUCCCUACUUACCGGUUGCUUGCCGCAGCACGAGCUCCUCUUUUGUUUAUGUGCUGAUUGGUGAUCCCACUGACAUUUUCGCCCUCAAGCCUUCCUGUGGAUACCUGGCUAUGACUAUUUUGGAAGGCGAGAGAUCGCCAUAUUAUGCAAAUUAUGGAGAUGUCGUGGAAUCCAUGAGAAACGGAUUUGCAGUUAGUUUUCCGCAAGAUCUUGGAACAAGCUUUGGACCCUUGCCGUUGCUCAGUAUUGGCAAAUUAAUCAGUGCACUGAAGUCUAGAAGGUAUACGUGGGAAAAGAUUUUGGAUCUUUUGCUAACUCGUUUGUUUCCUCGUAUACCUGGAAAAUAUGCAUAUGCAGCAAUUCCCAUGUGGAUUGCCCAGUGGAUUGCAAUAACCGCUGUACUAUGCAGGUUCAUGCUGCCGCCACUGGUGGUAUUGACUUUCCUUGCCUACAAGUACUGGAGAACAAGGAUAACAAUUGAUGCAGUCGAGAAGUUCUUGCGGAUGCAACAAAUGGUGGGCCCAAUCAGGUACAGCUACACUGACAUCACCGCAGUGACAAGGCAUUUCAGAGAUAAAUUGGGCCAAGGGGGCUAUGGCUCAGUCUACAAAGGUGUUCUUCUCCCAGGAGAUAUCCAUGUUGCUGUUAAGAUGCUAGCAGGUAGCUCCAAUUGCAACGGAGAAGAUUUUAUAAGUGAGGUCUCCACCAUUGGCAGGAUCCACCAUGUCAACGUGGUCCAUCUCAUGGGGUUCUGCUCGGAGGAAAUGAGAAGGGCCCUAAUCUAUGAGUACAUGCCUAAUGGUUCUCUUGACAAAUACAUCUUUUCGUCGGAGAGGAGCUUCUCUUGGGACAAGCUCAAUGAGAUUGCUUUGGGGAUUGCGAGGGGUAUCAACUACCUGCAUCAGGGGUGCGACAUGCAGAUUUUGCACUUCGACAUCAAGCCGCACAACAUUCUUCUCGAUACCAAUUUGGUUCCCAAAGUUGCUGAUUUCGGCCUGGCCAAACUGUACCCAAGGGAUGACAGCUUUGUGCCGUUGAGUGCUAUGCGGGGAACCAUUGGGUACAUAGCUCCUGAGAUGGUAUCUCGGAGCUUUGGUGUGGUAUCAAGCAAAUCUGAUGUUUACAGCUUCGGAAUGCUGCUACUGGAAAUGGCAGGAGGACGCCGGAAUGCUGACCCGAAUGCAUCAAACUCAAGCCAGGCGUACUACCCGUCCUGGGUGUACGACAGGCUAACAAGGCAACAAGAAGUGGGUGAGAUAUCCGCGGCAGAUGAGAUGCACGAGUUGGAGAGGAAGCUUUGUCUCGUUGGGCUAUGCUGCAUCCAGAUGAAGUCUCACGAUCGGCCGACGAUGAGCGAGGCCAUAGAGAUGCUCGAAGGUGGCGUUGAAGGCCUGCAUGUGCCUUCCAGGCCAUUCUUCUGUGACGAUGAGCACGCCCCUGUAGCUGCGGAUUCUCACCACGUCUUCUCUGAGCUGACUGCUCUGUCGGAGGAUGAUGAGUUUGAUGAUGCUUCUACGCAAGACAACAGCGCUGGUCUUAGAAAUGCAGAGUAG